UACGGAAGGCAGCAGUGGGGAAUAUUGCACAAUGGGCGCAAGCCUGAUGCAGCCAUGCCGCGUGUAUGAAGAAGGCCUUCGGGUUGUAAAGUACUUUCAGCGGGGAGGAAGGCGGUGAAGUUAAUAGCUUCACCGAUUGACGUUACCCGCAGAAGAAGCACCGGCUAACUCCGUGCCAGCAGCCGCGGUAAUACGGAGGGUGCAAGCGUUAAUCGGAAUUACUGGGCGUAAAGCGCACGCAGGCGGUCUGUCAAGUCGGAUGUGAAAUCCCCGGGCUUAACCUGGGAACUGCAUUCGAAACUGGCAGGCUAGAGUCUUGUAGAGGGGGUAGAAUUCCAGGUGUAGCGGUGAAAUGCGUAGAGAUCUGGAGGAAUACCGGUGGCGAAGGCGGCCCCUGGGACAAAGCUGACGCUCAGGGUGCGAAAGCGUGGGGAGCAAACGAGGACUUAGGAUA
rnacentral:rRNA from 1 species